UCCCAUGUGGUCUAGUGGUCAGGAUUCCUGGUUUUCACCCAGGUGGCCUAGGUUCAAUUUCACGUAUGGGAA
rnacentral:tRNA from 1 species